rnacentral:rRNA from 1 species
UCGAGGAUCAUUCGCAAUGGGCGCAAGCCUGACGAUGCGACGCUGCGUGGAGGAUGAAGGCCUUCGGGUCGUAAACUCCUGUCAUUCGGGAACAAUAAAAUGCCCAUUAAUACUGGGUGUAAUUGAUAGUACCGGAAGAGGAAGCCACGGCUAACUCUGUGCCAGCAGCCGCGGUAAUACAGAGGUGGCAAGCGUUGUUCGGAUUUACUGGGCGUAAAGGGUGCGUAGGUGGUAUUGUGUGUCGGGCGUGAAAGCUCACCGCUCAACGGUGAAAGGCCGUCCGAAACUACAAAACUAGAGUGCAGGAGAGGAGAGCGGAAUACUUGGUGUAGCGGUGGAAUGCGUUGAGAUCAAGUAGAACACCGGUGGCGUAGGCGGCUCUCUGGAAUGUAACUGACACUGAGGCACGAAAGUUGGGGGAGCAAACAGG